rnacentral:ribozyme from 1 species
GCGGCUGAGAAGCUUCAAGCUCACACGUGCCAUGGUUGCGAAGGUGCUCCGCUCUCUGAAUGAGCUAAAGUCAGUUGGCCCUGAUGGGGUCAGUCCGCGUCUCCUCAAGCACUGU